rnacentral:misc_RNA from 1 species
GUUUUUUAAUGGGGUUCCUGGAAUUGGUGUGAGUAGGAGUAAUGGUGGUGAUUAUUUCAUUGGUCCUGGACUUGAAGAAUUGUUCGAACAGCUUUCAGCAAAUGAUCGGCGAGGGCCGCCUCCUGCAUCUAGAUCUUCGAUUGAUGCCAUGCCUGUUGUUAAAAUCACACAAAGACACAUCCGUUCGAAUUCACACUGUCCUGUUUGCCAAGAUAAAUUUGAAUUAGGAUCUGAAGCAAGGCAAAUGCCAUGUGACCAUAUG